ACUGAGAAAAAGCACGGGACCGAGAGUGAUCAUCAUAGGAAAAGUGUCUGGAAGAUGAAAGUCUAAAAUAAGCUGAGACAUGUACAAAAAAGAAAAAGAUAGGAGAACAGAAGGUCCUAGGCAAGAUUAGGGAGGGAGAGGCCGACCUGUGCUUGAGUGGAUGGUGAACGGGCAGCUUCUUCAGACGGCGAAGCCAGAGCCCCGGGAUAACUUCCUUUGUCUGUUUUCCCCGAGAAUCACAGGAGAACAGCAUUUGGAGGAAUAGAGGGCAGUGAACCGAAUUUAAGACUCAACCAUGGUGGGAAAAAGUCACGAGAUGAGCAUGCUGGGAACUGCAAUUUCCUGGAGGCCUUCUUUCACAAGCUUAGAGACUGUGUUCUCAGGGAAAGCAGCCAGGACCCAACACCAUUGGGAAACAAAACAGCACCCUGCGUUCUUCUGGGAGCUGGGACUUCGGAGGCUGCUUGAGCACUCUUUGCUCCUCCUACACAGCAGAGACCCAUCCCACACUGGGAGGAGCCUCUUCAGGACACUGCUGCCUUUCAAAGAAAAUCAAAUGCAUGACAACGUCACACACUGUCGCCACAGGAGGGAAUGGAGACGAGUUUACUAAAAGCAUACGUGGGGUUGGAAGCUCAGCUCCACAGUGUUGCCCAUGGAAGCCCGAGAAGUUCUUUCUCCAAGACCUCCACUCAGGUAAAACUGGAUCCUUGGCCACACCAUGCGGGGGGAUUUCACGGUGAGAUACUACAAAGCCGAGGUGGAGCCUAUGAAAAUGGACAGAGAGGGGGAACAUCUCAGUUCACAGAAUUCUCCCUGCCAUGAGUGUUCUUCGUUGCCAGGAACGUACAAAGCUACUGGGCCUGCAAACCAUGGGCUGAAGUCUGAAACUUGUAGCCCAAGAUAAACCUUCCCUCUUUUUAAGCCUAUUGAUACCUCAAGUAUUUUGUCACAGUGAUCAAGAGCUGGCUGACGCAGGGCCUGUGACUCUUGUCCUCUGGAUUGGUGAGUGUGACUCUGGGCACUGGGUGGAUGUUACAGUCCUAAGUUUGACUCGGGCAGAUCUGAAACUCAGCUUGAACAUGUCUGCUGCCGUCUUAAACCACAAGUGCUUCUCCAUCACCUGUCUCUGAUAUUAGUGGCUUUCAACUGCCUGGAGGAGGACAGCUCGGUCUAUGAUAGGCCCUGUGCUCCCUUCGCCCUCCCCGUUUGAAAUGCUGCUUCCCGGCAUUAACUUGUUUGCUGUUUGACCAAACUGCAGGGGACCACAGCCUAGCCAAGAGGACGCACAAAAUGAGCUAGCACAAACGAUAUGAUUAGUAGCUGUUUCAGAUCACGCAUUUAAAAUACGGGCAGCAAACAAUUUAAAAAUGUACGAAAGCUUGAAAAACAAAAAUUAAUUGGUGAAUACGGGAUUAUUUUUCAGACAACUGUUACAUUGUCACACUUAGAUAAAUUAACAGUUGUCCUUGAUAUAAUCAUGAAUCAAGUGAAAUGAACACUUAAUGUUUCAAUUCUCUCAUAUGUUACAGUUUUACAAUGUAUUCAUUUCAGUUAGACUCCAACUGUGGUCCAUAUCUUGUGAUUAGUGAAAUAAAUGCUUUAUACAAUUUAAAGGGCAGAUUUCUCCUAAUAUUCCCCUCUCUCUCUUCCCAACAGUUAAUUUUAGAAUCUCUCAUUGGUCCUUUGGGCAUUCUGAUACUGGGUCAUGCUGGCCCACUACCUCAGUGUGAUCCAUCAUGUCCCACUGUCCUGUUUCCUAGAAAUUCAUUGUUCGAUGAGGCCGAGGGUGAUGGUUUAUACACCAGACAGCAUCCAGGAUCACCUAGGAAGGACAGGAGCUGCUGGUGGUGCCCACGAGGGAUUAUCUAGAUCAGGUUAGCCUCCGAACAGG